GGAAAGAAAUUGGAAAUAUGCCCAUCGCCAUGACAUGCUCAAAGCUAGAGAGCCACAAACUCCCCAAAAUCCUACAAUGAAACCAAGAGCCACUGAAAUAUAAAGCCAUGAAAUUUCAUUCCCAUUGUCAUGUUCAUCUUCCAGGUUCUUAGUUGCAUCAUCACUUGUAUUCAUCUGUUGGCAUUUGUUUGGAAGCGGGGAACCGCAAAGUCCCGGGUUUCCCUCAAAGGCAGUGGCAUCAAAGCCUUGGAGCUGUGUGCCUGACGGUAUUUGUCCUUGGAGGUUAUUGUAUGCAACACUAAGUGAAGCCAAGAAAUGAAGGCUUGAUAGUGAAGGUGGGAUUCCGCCCGACAGAUGGUUUCUUGAGAGGUCUAAUCUCUCCAAGUUUGUGAGCUUAGAUACCUGGUCCGGAAUGCUGCCAACAAUGUUGUUGAUGCUGAGAUCCAGCUCGUGAAGGUUUUGCAACGGGCCUAUCUCAAUGGGAAUGUUGCCACUUAGAUGGCGGCAAGUUGGACAGAGAGUUGUACUGCAGCUCUAUGACAGUUUCAUUCCUGCGCUGCGUGUAGAUAGGGAGAUCGACAUCACCACUAUCCGUUUGAGCGGAAGGCUUCUCAGUUACAAGAGCUUGAAGUAGUGAGAAAAGCUCCUUUGGAAGUCCCCCCGAAAGAGAGUUGUUUUCCAAGCUUAUGAAGAAAAGACUAGGAAGACUUCCCAACCAAGGAGGUAUUCCAAGUCUGUUAGAAGUCAAAUCAAGGACUUCGAGUUUCUUGAGCUUUGACAUCCACACCGGAAUAUGACCUCUAAGUUGGCAGUUCGAUAAGCCAAAAAUUUCAACAGAAAAAACUUUUACGUUGCAUGCUUGUUUUGUAGACGAUGAAGCUGCAUUUACAUGUUUCUUACGCUCAUAAGAUAAAUGCAGUUUUCAACUUUAUGAAAAGAGAUUGCACAUAAACUGUUUGAUGAAAUUCCUGAACCGUGUUCUUUUUUUGUCUUUUUUUUUCGGAGUUUUAACGAAACACUUCUGGUACUGUUCACUUUUAACAAAAAACCACAUUUUUACCUUUAUCCGGUACUAUUCACUACACCUUUAUUUGUUAUUUUUCAUUUUUUUGGACUUUUUGUUAGUUUUAUUUUUAUUUUUUUCCAGAUUUCCAGAUUGUUUUCAUGUUUCCAACAAUGGCCAAUUUGCAGGUUUAGGAACUUAGGUGCCACUGUAACACAUUUCCUGAACCGCCUCCUCUUGCGAAAGUUGGAACUCUGUGAUUUUCGGCUUCUGCUCGUGUUGGGAUUCGUUCAACGACUUCCGACUUGCAACCAGUGCAAACUAGAAGAACGAGCUUUAACUGGAACGUUGAAGAGAGAGGUGGUUUGGAAGUUGUCAGGGACCGUGAAAGAGUUACUGUUGUUUGCAUAUUCUGACCGAUUUGUACUCUCGGUUUCACUAUCCGGUUUGCCGCUUUUAACUUCAUCCCUUUGAUUUGGGAUUUGGACUUGGCCUUGGGCUUUCCUGUUAAGAAGAAGAAUAAGAAUUAGGAAUUGUAAACAAAUCGAAAAAAGAAAAAAUGAACAGAGUCUAGAUUCUAGAACUCUACCUUCUUCUAAGCCUUCUCCACUUCAGAUAGAGCGUGAAUUGAAUAUUGUCAAGGAAUUGGAAAUAGGCAUGUCUCCACGUCCUCUUGAGAAGCAAAGGGCAACAGAAUCCCAAAUACCCUACAAAGAAACCAAGCACAACGGAUAACCCAAACCAUAGACUUUGAUCCUCAUCAUCGUCCAAAUCCUGGUUGUUCUCAUUCUCAUCUGCAUCAUUGCCAUUACUUGGGAAGCACUGGUUUGAAAGUGGGGCACCGCAAAGUUUCGGAUUCCCUUCGAAUGCAGAGACACUGAAGCCUUGGAGCUGAGUGCCGGCUGGUAUUGAUCCUUCAAGAUUAUUGUAUGCAACAGUAAAUGUAGACAAGAAAUGGAGAUUUGAUAGUGAUGAUGGGAUUUCGCCUGACAGACGGUUACUGUUGAGUUCUAAUCUCUCCAACUUUGUGAGGUUGGCUAUUUGGUCUGGAAUGUUGCCGGAGAACUUGUUGAUGCUUAGAUCCAGUUGUUGAAGAAAUUGCAAUUGGCCAAUCUCAAAGGGUAUGCUGCCGCUUAAACUGUUGUUCCUGAGGGAGAUCACUCUUGGCAUGUUGCGCAGAUACUUGUACUGUGAAGACAGCACAGUUGCAUUAUUACCGCGUUGAAAGUAGACGGGCAACUCAAAAGAACAAUGGCCUGUUUCAUUUGCAACCUUUUGCGAUACUAAUGCUUGUAGUCUGCAAAGCUCCUUUGGAAAUUCACCCGAAAUCAAGUUGUCAUUCAACAUCAAAAGGAAAAGAUGCGGAAGAGUCCCCAACCAACCAGGUAUUGUGCCAGUGAGUCUAUUAAAAGACAAAUUCAGGACUUCCAGUUUCCCGAGCUUUGAAAUCCAUGCAGGUAUGUGCCCUGUCAUAUGACAGCCCAAUAAAUUGAAAACACACAGAUUUUGUAACCCGGAAUCGACAGUUAUAUCCCCAUCUGGCAUUUCUUCACCUUUAAAAUUUAUUGCAAGAAGGAGCACCUUAAGACUUUUGAAACCCGUCAGUAACUUCAUUGCCCCCGUGACAUUGGUGAGUCUGUUAUCAGAAAGCGAGAGGAAGGUCAAGUUUUUCAAUUGAAGAAUCUCAGGUUGGAUUUGGCCCUCAAAAUCAUUUGAAGACAGUCGAAGUGCUUUGAGGAACUUGCAUGAGUAGAGGCUUAUUGGCAAGGUACCAGUGAGAUUAUUACUUA